CGGAGGAUAUAAAUCACCUUAGUCUGUUUUACUUUACAUAUACUUUCAGGUAGUGAUUUAAGUUAGUUAACGAGGGUGUGAGAGUGCAGUAUCGCAGCAUUGCUCCUUAAGGAUGCCUGGUAGUGCCAUGAGAACACGGGCUGGGGAUUUGGGCUCCUUGGGCUCUCUGCAGUCCCAUCACAGAAGCUAGAUGCUGGAGCACUCUGAAAUGUUCACAGUGGCACUUGCUCUUCUGUGUGAACCCCUUCCUCUGCCAUCCUCCUCAGGUUGUCUGAUCUUUGAGCUGAGCUCAGGCUGUGGCUCUUACAGUCACCUCCUUUGGAGAUUGCACCCACAUGACUGUUGUUUCGUUUUCUCUGCAGUAAUCUGCUGCUGGCUCCUCCGUGACCUUUCUCCCUAAGAAAAACCUGUAUACUUCAAAGGUCUCUCAGGACAGUGAAACUACUUUGGUUCUGUCAAACAUAGGUGCGAAUAGGUUUCUCUCAUGCAAAAUUACUGACUGUUAUCUCUUUCUCUUUGCAGACAGGUCUUUUCAAGUAAGAUUCUUUCAACUAUAAUCUCUUUUGCAUGUUUAGUCAGUUUAGUGCAAACCUGACGAGGAAGAGACUCGUUCUCUGAUCUGAUGGUAGAACACAGUACUCAUUAAAAUUAAUAAUAAUAAUAAAAAUCAAAGUCUGUGGAUGCUUGAAGGCAUAGCUGACACCAUAACAAACAAUGAAGUUUUAGACAUAAACCCAGACUGGCAGCCUUGGCAGAUCAGCUGUUGACAUAACAGCAUCUUAACAACAAAAAGCAAAGAAAACAACAGCAACAAAAAUCCUUUUCCUCACUUUGCAACAUUUCUGAAAGCUCUUAUUUUUGUCUCCAGGCUUUUCUUUGGCAUACCCUGGACCCAGAGCAAGGAGGGAGUAGGAAACACCAUCCCAGAGCUGUGUCUGCACUAGGGGGCUGUGCUUGCAUGGCGAUAAGAGGAUUAGAAGUUUAGAGAAAGCUUUGUCCUCGUGUGGUAAGCCCUGAUAACAAACUUUGACUCAGUUAGCUGCUGCUUACAGCACAUUCCUCAUUGGAACAUAUCUGCAAUUGACCUUGACAUGGAAAACAUAAACCCGGUGGAAACAAACUGGUGAUGAUCUCCGUCUAACUGGAGAGCAGACUUCUGAUGUGAGCGCUGCAGCACCAUCCUUUCGGUAGCCCUGAGUCUCUGUAGGUGGAUGAACUGUUUCAGGACAUUCCUUCAUUCUGAGAAGUGGCUGUGGCCAACCAGCUGGAGGCUGCUGAGCUGCCCUGCGGUGCAAGAGGUGUGCUGGCAGGCAGCCCUGUGUUAAUUUUGAUGGCAAAGCUGUCUGAUCUUUUCCAGCUCUGACUUUUGGGUUUCUGCAAAGUAAAAAACUGCCUUAUGCAAAGGUGAUUCCACGCCAGGAGAAGGGUUCUGUGCUCCUUAGAGGGAAUGAAGGGAGGUAACUGAUCAUUCUCUGUAGCUGAUCCCAUUCUGACAGUUCUCAUUACAUCAAAUUUGAGUGCUCACUCUACCAUAUGGGAAAAGAGGCGGGGGAGUCUGUCUAGGACCACUGCUGGGGUGGGUCUCCAGUGGUGCUUGUGUCUUGACCUCAGGCAAUGCUUCCAUUCUUCCUUUGUUAAAAGAGUGAUUUGUCAGAUGCCAGGGACUCCUCAAUAAGUCUCCUGGGCUGGAGGAGAAUGGUCAGCAGUAUCUCAUAGGUUUCAUCACAGAUCAAUUUUUAACGUUCAGAUUGGUUGUCCCUAGGACUUAAGUUGAGUUUGUCACAUCAGUAUCACAGCAGAAGCAAAAGAGCUGCUAUCUUGGCAGGUGCUGGAACACCUUCCGGGCUCCUGGAGCUGGGGACAGCACUCAGCUCUUCAUAGAGAAGUGUGAUGCAGAAAAUUAGUUGUUAAAGCAAAUACAGGGAGAAAGGAGCAAGACAAGUGAAAGCCGAGAAAGCUGGAGUGAUUCAUCACUCCUGACUGGCACGAGAGCUCCAGGACCAUCAGCUCAUCAGGAAAUCUCCUGUCUGCCCGGAGCACACAGUGAAUUCCCACCUUUGCACUCAAGGCACAGCAUUAAGUGCUUCCAAAAUUCCCGUGACGGCUCCAUCCUGCAACGUUCUGAACCUCCUCACUGUGCUUCAGCAAUGCGAUCAGGUCCAGAUACGAGCUCAGGACUGGACCUACUGCAACAAGCAGUGUGAACAAUGCUGGGCUCUUACUGCCAUGCUCAGGAAACAGGAGUGUCAUUUCUCCUUGUCUGCUGUGAGCGAGUCCUCAUCGGUUCAAGUGACAACACGUGCAGGUGCCUCUCUGCUUUUUCCACACCGGGUGAGUCCUUUCAGCAAGCAGGGAGGGAACAGCUGCUGGGUGAAAACAAGGCCAUCCUGCUGACCCAAGCUGAAAUGCGACAGGGAAAUGGGAUUUCUGACCUUGAGAGGUACAAAGUUGCCCAAAGGAGGGACCCGGCGAAGAUUAAAAAUAACUCCAACUCCGUAACGCUUCUGCAGCUGGGCCAAAGCAUUGCAAAACACACAGCCAGCUAUGAAAUAGGACCAAUUGACAACAGCCUUUUGGUGACCGAUGGGCUGAGGAGCUCGCCCUCCCCUUUGCGAGCAUGGACUGAAGAACAGCUGCUUUUGUCAGCCGUGCUCUUGCUUGUCCUCUCCCCUGUCCCUGCAGAUGUUUGAGGAUGGCUGCUGUGACGGUGCUCGUCGUGUGGGUCGGUGUUCCUUUCUCCUCAGCUCCCACUUCUGUUUGGCUGUUGUGAGAGCAAUUAGACAUUACUCAGAGAGGGCCAGACAGUGUGUGGGUCCAUGGUCGCUCGGUCUGUCUGUCUGUCUCCCCCCUCUCGCACACAUGCCAUGUGAUUUGAAGCAGUCAUGUACCAUGAAUAAUGUCCAGGGGCCAGGUCACAAGCUUCCCAUAGCAUGGAAUUCAUUUGCAUACAAUCCGAGCAAUUACAAGUAAUGAAUAGAUUAGGAAAACCAAACAAAACGAGAAACGAUUCAGGCUGCUGCUAAUUCCUCAG
rnacentral:lncRNA from 1 species